AAUAAUUUGGCAGAUUUUAUGCGAAUGAUUUAGAAUCAUUAAAUACUGAAUUUUUUUAGUAAUUAUUU
rnacentral:tRNA from 1 species